rnacentral:lncRNA from 1 species
AUCAGAUCUAAUAUAAUUUAGAUUAUAUAUAAAUUUAAACAUAUAUAAUAUAUGAUUAGAUUAGAUGAUCCAAUUAGCAAGUACUUGGAUUGGGUUGAUCACCAGACGGUCUGGUCAUAGGAGCAAGAAGGGUUUAAAGAUCCUUUUUUCUCUUUUGAUGGGGUGCCCUUAUGGCGUGUAGGGGUGCCAUGUGAUUAGAUCCCAUGAAGAAGAAUUGAAAGGAAGAACUUA